GCAUCGGUGGUUUAGUGGUAAAAUUAGCCGUUGCCAUCGGCUAGCCCCGGGUUCGGUAAGUUUACUUGAAUCCACUCUUCGAUUAUCAGCUCUAACGUCCCCUAGAUUCCCGGCCGAUGCA
rnacentral:tRNA from 1 species